AGUUCUGGAAGUAACACAUUAAUACGACUAAAAAGCCAAAUCUUUUAAGUAAGUAGACUAAAGUGUUUACUAUUCAAACAUUCUUUGUUAAGAUGAUAAAUCAAACAUAUCGUUAUAGCUCCUUCAGAAUGAGUUUUGGUGGCGUCGAAAUUAUAUAAGCUUUAUAAAGCAUAGACAUGAAGCGUUUUGUUGAAAAAGUCUUGACUAGUUGAGAGCAAGAACAAUCUGCUCUACAUUUAUUUAAGGUAUCAGUUUGCUUUAUGCAAACGAAAUGCCUCCUUCUAAUCAGAACUAUCAUUUCUUGUUUAUUGAUAAUUCUGACAACCAUUUAUACAGGCAUAUUUUACCACAGGGCGACGUAUUUCAGGUGAUGGAACAUGGUGGAACACACAGAAAUCCUUACAUGUCUUAAACAAUUCAGGCAUACCUCUCUCCGAUAGCUAUGACCGAGUUAAACUUUUCAUGCAUUAAAACUCAAUGCAAAACACCUAGAUUCCUAUGCAUUCAGAAGAUUACAGGGAUCAUAAGUUUUCAGUCAUGCCUUUACUUAGCAAGUUUCAUGUUACCAUUAGCAUACACUGUUUUCAUUGAAUGGAAAUAAAUGAUUCAUUUUGUAAAGAUAAGAGGAUAUAGAAUAGAAAAAACAGAUAAAUAAAGAACACUAUAUGAAUCUAGAAUGACUAGAAUUCGUCUGAAGUAGACUUUGACACGCUCGUUUAAAGUCAACAACAUUUUCCGCUAUUUACUAUUUUGUAUCAAACUUCCAUAUACAAUCUCGUAUUGCGUCGAAUGUCAUCUGACGUGUUUCAUACAAAUUGUUAGACCGUUCUUUACACAAUGGCUUUGAUUAAGGUUUGCAAUGAUUCUCUGGUCUAGAUAUAAGGCUUACGGCAGAUGAACAGAGGGUGCUUACGACUCCUAAGUACCUGACCCCACCUCUGAUAUGUCCAAGACUUGUGUUUGUCCUAUUUUCGAUUCUGUUGUUUUAUAGGAUUCAUGAGAUUGGUUAGCUGCACCUUGUGUAUACAAGUACCAUGAGUGAAUCGGGAAAAGAAAAGGUAUUUCAUCACACUUCCAAAGCCAGUGCUGAAAAAAUUAUUAAAGAGGGCAAAAUAAAAAUGUCCAACGCUAAUGCUAAUGGAGAUGCUGUGCAUGGCCCCGGAACAUACGUAACAAAAUUGGGUCCCCACCAUUCUCCAGAUGAUGUUGCCAAGAAUAAUUGGGAUGGUGCUACAAAAUAUUGGGAAAGUCACAGAGAUAGUGGAAAGACGGAUGUUGUAUUUGAAAUCAAUCACCCAAAGAGCGACCUGAAAGCCUAUGAUAAUGCGGGACGGUCCGUCCUCAAAACAUCGGGUGAUUUGAGACUUCCGGCGGACACGAAAGUGCACGUGCGAUAUAAAAAUGACCCACAGAAAUAUGCCACUUAUACAAUCAAGACAAAGGAAAAGUAGCAGUCAUUACUCUUUGUGUAAUGAUAUUGACUUGGACCGUUUUGAUUAUGAUAAUUAUAUACAUCGAAUAUGAUUAUUGUUUUAGAUUUUACUUUAAGAAUUCAUGCAUGUUUAUUUAUACAUGCAGGUACACUGCUAUAUAGUUAUCUUUGUUUUAUUUGUCAAGGAUACAAUUUUGUGUUUAUGCAUGUAUUGGUUGAAUGAAUUCACAGUAGUUACAAUGGCAAUAAGAUAAGAAUUUCUUAUAUCGAAAGAGCAAUGAACAAAUAAAUGAUUCAUUUAAGGAAUGAAAGAAUUUAACUUAUAGAUUACACUAGCUAGAUUAUGAGAAAACUCGAUCUUGAAACAUGGAAUACAUACCAUCGUUUUUUUCCUCUCAUAAAUUGUUCUACAAAUAUCAACUUAGUUUUACCUUGUCAUUCUACGAAAAUCAGUCAUCAAUCAUUGUAAACCUAUCGCAGAGACGCAUAAUGUUUUGUGUAAAGAAUAUACAAAGCAAACUGAAUUAUGAUCUUAAGAUACAAAAUUACUGUUUUAGAAAAUGAUUUUAAAAAUGUCAGUCCACCUAAAGUAGAAGUUUUGCCUUAUUUGAAAAACAAACAUCUGCGCAGAGCUACCCUAUUUUUAUUCAUUUGUGUCAAAACUCUUUAGGCAAGACAAAGUAAAUGAUAUUCAUAUAAAUGUUUUACUAUGGGGUGAUCACCUCCUACCAUACAAUAGGAUCAGUUGUAUGUUUUCAGAAUUUCUAAAUUCAUUGCAGAAUCUGGUGAAUUUUAUCCAUCAUAAAAUAAUAAAGAAAUGCAUCAGUAUUACAUGUAGUCAUUAGGGAAUGUGGCUCCUCAGCUUUUUUAGCAUAACUGCUAUAACCUUGUGUGUAUAUGUACUAGGUCAAUGCUGCUCUCAUUGGUCCAAACAUAUUUUACAUCUAUAACUUAGCCUGUCCAGUUGAAAAAUGUUGUGUCAAUUCAAAUGUGAAAGGGUUUGACAUGGACAGUGGAAUUAAGCUACAUAUUUUGUGGCGGAGAGAUUGUUUGCCUCACAUUUUUGUUGAUGUUUCAAUCAUUAGAAAUUAAUAAAAUGUGACAGUAUUUUU